rnacentral:rRNA from 1 species
AUUGAACGCUGGCGGCAGGCCUAACACAUGCAAGUCGAACGAGUGGCGGACGGGUGAGUAAUGUCUGGGAAACUGCCUGCUGGAGGGGGAUAACUCCUGGAAACGGUAGCUAAUACCGCAUACCAUCGGAUGUGCCCAGAUGGGAUGAGCUAGUAGGUGGGGUAAAGGCUCACCUAGGCGUCGAUCCAUAGCUGGUCUGAGAGGAUGACAAGCCAAACUGGAACUUAGAUACGGUCCAGACGCCUACGUGAGUCAGCAGUGGGGAAUAGUGCACAAUGGGCGCAAGCCGGAUGCAGCCAUGCCGCGUGUAUGAAGAAGGCCUUCGGGUUGUAAAGUACUUUAAGCGGGGAGGCGUUACCCGCAGAAGAAGCACCGGCUAACUCCGUGCCAGCCGCCGCGGUAAUAC